UGACCGCUGGCGGCGUGCUUAACACAUGCAAGUCGAACGAAGCACUUUAUUUGAUUUCCUUCGGGACUGAUUCUUUUGUGACUGAGUGGCGGACGGGUGAGUAACGCGUGGGUAACCUGCCUUGUACAGGGGGAUAACAGUUGGAAACGGCUGCUAAUACCGCAUAAGCGCACAGCAUCGCAUGAUGCAGUGUGAAAAACUCCGGUGGUAUAAGAUGGACCCGCGUUGGAUUAGCUAGUUGGUGAGGUAACGGCCCACCAAGGCGACGAUCCAUAGCCGACCUGAGAGGGUGACCGGCCACAUUGGGACUGAGACACGGCCCAAACUCCUACGGGAGGCAGCAGUGGGGAAUAUUGCACAAUGGGCGAAAGCCUGAUGCAGCGACGCCGCGUGAGCGAAGAAGUAUUUCGGUAUGUAAAGCUCUAUCAGCAGGGAAGAUAAUGACGGUACCUGACUAAGAAGCACCGGCUAAAUACGUG
rnacentral:rRNA from 1 species